rnacentral:rRNA from 1 species
AUGGGCGAGUACUGCGCCCCGGCGGCGGAGGGGGAGCGGCCGGUGGCGGUGUCCGUGCUGCCGGUGGCGGCGGCGGGCAGGUACCUGUACGGCGACUACGACCGCGGCUCCACCAAGCAGGUCUUCGACAACCUCCACGGCAACAUCUCCCUCGACCCCUUGGCCCGUGAAUUUGUGGAUACAGAGGAAUUUCAGAGGUUGCGGGAUCUGAAACAGCUUGGCCUUACAUAUCUGGUGUUUCCUGGGGCUGUCCACACACGUUUUGAACAUUCAUUAGGUGUUUAUAGACUUGCUGGGGAGGCUAUGAACAAUCUUCAGAAGUACCAGGGAAACGAGCUUGGCAUUGACCGCAUUGAUGUGCAAACUGUGAAACUUGCAGGUCUCUUACAUGACAUUGGACAUGGCCCCUUCAGUCAUCUGUUUGAGCAUGAGUUUCUUCCUCGUGUUCAUCCAGGAUCAACAUGGUCCCAUGAACAUAUGUCUGCACUGCUUCUGGACAGCAUUGUUGAUAAACACGCAAUAGAUAUUGAACCUGAUUAUCUGAAAGUUAUCAAGGAAAUGAUAGUUGCAAGCUCUGACGUCUCCACAGCAGAAGGUGUGAAGGAGAAGCGUUUCCUUUACGACAUUGUUGCUAAUGGGCGCAACGGUAUAGAUGUUGACAAGUUCGACUACAUUGACCGUGAUUGCAGAGCAUGUGGUAUUGGCAGCAAUUUCCAGCACUGGAGGCUUUUAGAAGGUAUGCGAGUGAUGGGUGAUGAAAUAUGCUACCCUGCCAAAGACUAUCUGAGCAUCCAUAAAUUGUUCACAACACGUGCUGAUCUGCAUCGGACUGUCUAUACCCAUGCCAAAGUAAAGGCUGUUGAACUGAUGCUUGUGGAUGCACUUGUUGAAGCUAAUGAAUACUUGGGAAUAUCUUUGCAUGCAGAUGAUCCAGAGGACUUUUGGAAGUUAGAUGACACAAUCGUCAAAAGCAUCGAAACUGCUCCCAACGAUGAACUGAAGAAAGCAAAGGAAAUCAUUCAACGUAUCCGCCGAAGGGAGCUCUACAAGUUCUGCAAUCAAUAUUCUGUUCCAAAGGAUAAACUGGACCAUUUCAAGAAUAUAACUGCACAGGACAUAGUUUGCUCACAGAUAACUUCAAAGGUGCUGCUUAAGGAGGAAGACGUGGCGGUCAGCAAUGUGAAGAUUGACUUGACGCGUGGGAAGGACAACCCGCUGGAAAGCAUCAAGUUCUUCAAGGAUUUCGGAUGCGAAGAGAAGUUCCCGAUCACGGACGAACGCGUCAGCCACCUGCUGCCUGUGUGCAACCAGGACAGGAUCGUGAGGGUGUACGCCAAGAAGCCGGAGCUGGUGGACGCGGUGUCGGAGGCGUUUGAGAACCUGCAGAUGAGGAUGUACGGGGAGAAGACGCAGGUGCAUGACACGCCCACCAAGAAGAAGCGCAGGUUCAACUAG